rnacentral:rRNA from 1 species
AGAACGGUUGUUAAGGAACUCGGCAAAAGGACCCCGUAACUUAGGGAUAAGGGGUGCCACCAUCAGGUGGCCGCAGAGAAUAGGCCCAAGCGACUGUUUACCAAAAACAUAGGUUUCUGCUAAGUCGAAAGACGAUGUAUAGGAGCUGACGCCUGCCCGGGGCUGGAAGGUUAAGGGGAUCUGUUAGAGCAAUCGAAGCAGUGAACUUAAGCCCCAGUAAACGGCGGCCGUAACUAUAACGGUCCUAAGGUAGCGAAAUUCCUUGUCGGGUAAGUUCCGACCCGCACGAAAGGCGUAACGAUUUGGGCACUGUCUCAACAACAGACUCG